GACGAAGGGGGCGGGCGUUACCCAUGAUGACUGGGGGUAAAGAGUCCGUAGGCGGUUUUUCAAGUUAAAAGUAAAAUCAAAAAGCUCAACUUUUUGAGGUUUUUAAUACGUUAAAGCUUAGAGUUUGAAGGGAGAUAGUAGAAUUUCAUAUGGAGGGGUGAAAUCCGUAGAAUUAUGAAGGAAUACUGAUGGCGAAGGCGACUAUCUAUUUCAAUCUGACGCUGAGGGACGAAAGCAUGGGGAGCAAACAGG
rnacentral:rRNA from 1 species